CAAAGAAAUGGGCGCUCAACACUCCUCAUUUCCCAAAACUUCCAGAACCCCCUUCAAGUAAAUAUGAAAACCCACUUUCGUUUUCAAUGUAAUUGAAGAACACAAAUCUGUAAUUUUAUUCAACAAAUUCAUUCUCCUAUUUUCUCAUAGUCAUUCAUAGAUUAUAAAAGCUUAGAAUCCUAUGCUCUCCCAGUUCAGAUAGCUCUCCAAAACCUCUUAAAUCCGACUUUCUCUCUUUGAAUUUUAACUCGACCUCUCGCAAAUUCUAUGGAAGCUAAUUCUGUUAACUUUAGACGAAAUCGUCUCCACCUCUAAUGGUUGCGGCGCCGCUGAUCUCUUACGCUGGCCCCUUUCUCAGGAUGUUCUCAAUCUCCCGGAGCUGCUAAAUUCUAUUCCGAUGCGUUGGGUUUCACCGCCGAUGUCUGCUCUCCUUGUUCGGUCGAACUUCACUCCCACUCCUUCGAGCAGUUGUCGCCAGUGGAGUCUUCUCUCCAUUUGUGGUUCAUGGAAUGCAAGUGAAGGCCUGGGAGCCGAAAUCCGAGAUGCAGGCUCUAGUGUCUCAAAAACACGUAGAAGGUCUCAACUUUACGGGAUGGAUCCCUGUGGUGAAGUAAGAAAAUAUUUAUAUCUACAGGUCCCCUUCAAGAUUUAAAUAUGCUAGACAAGGAAUAAUUACUACUUUUUAUCUUGACUAAUGUAAAUUGUGAUAUGUAACCUUUGGGGUUUGAUACAAGUAUGGCUUUAUAAGCACUCUAAAUACCAUUUUGUAAAUUUCCAAACUAUUGGAGAACAAUGUAAAUAUCUAUGGAUCUUUUUAAUAAAAAUUAAAUUUUAUCAUCA